GUCAGUGUGGACGAGCGGUUAAGGCGUCAGACUCGAAAUCUUAUACGUUCGCGUGCACAGCUCCUGUCGCUGACG
rnacentral:tRNA from 1 species